UAGACCAACCCCAACGGAUGCUCUCUUUAGUUGCCUUUGGUCGGUUAAAGAGAAAAGACUUCACCAAAGAAUCCUGUCAUCCGGGACAAUGGAUGGUUCCCGCCCUGAGGGUCAGAUGGGCUAAGCCUGUGAAUGAGCGGUAGGUCAAUACCCAAGGCGGACACGGGUUCAAUUCCCGUAGGCUCCACUU
rnacentral:tmRNA from 1 species